rnacentral:rRNA from 1 species
AGAGUUUGAUCCUGGCUCAGAACGUACGCUGGCGGCACGCCUAACACAUGCAAGUCGAACGAAGUAGCAAUACUUAGUGGCAGACGGGUGAGUAACAUGUGGGUAUCUGCCCUAUGGCCUGGAAUAACACGAGGAAACUUGUGCUAAUACCGGAUAAGUCUUUACAGAGAAAGCUUUAUGCACCAUUGGAUGAGCCCGCACUUGAUUAGUUUGUUGGUGGGGUAAUGGCCUACCAAGACUGUGAUCAAUAGCUGAUUUGAGAGGAUGAUCAGCCACAUUGGGACUGAGACACGGCCCAAACUCCUACGGGAGGCAGCAGUGGGGAAUAUUGCACAAUGGAGGAAACUCUGAUGCAGCCAUGCCGCGUGCAGGAUGAAUGCCCUAUGGGUUGUAAACUGCUUUUAUACAAGAAGAAACAUCAGUACGUGUACUGACUUGACGGUAUUGUAUGAAUAAGCACCGGCUAACUCCGUGCCAGCAGCCGCGGU